rnacentral:rRNA from 1 species
GACGAACGCUGGCGGCGUGCUUAACACAUGCAAGUCGAACGGUAAGGCCCUUCGGGGUACACGAGUGGCGAACGGGUGAGUAACACGUGGGUGAUCUGACCUGCACUUCGGGAUAAGCCUGGGAAACUGGGUCUAAUACCGGAUAGGACCCUGGGAUGCAUGUCCUGGGGUGGAAAGCUUUUGCGGUGUGGGAUGGGCCCGCGGCCUAUCAGCUUGUUGGUGGGGUGAUGGCCUACCAAGGCGACGACGGGUAGCCGGCCUGAGAGGGUGACCGGCCACACUGGGACUGAGAUACGGCCCAGACUCCUACGGGAGGCAGCAGUGGGGAAUAUUGCACACUAUGCGCAAGCCUGCUGCAGCGACGCCGCGUGAGGGAUGACGGCCUUCGGGUUGUAAACCUCUUUCAGCACCGACGAAGCGCCCCUGACGGUAGGUGCAGAAGAAGGACCUGCCAACUACGUGCCAGCAGCCGCCGUAC